AUGUCACAAAGUUGGACAGACCUGGGUGGGGAUCUCUACUCGAAUAGAAGGCGUGAACUCAUCGAUGCUAUGACAACCCUUACUUGCCUAACCGCAGCUGUUUUCUCAGGUCAAGUUGAGGGCUUGAGCUUCUAUGAUUCCUGUAGGCUUCUCUUCUCGCUACUCUAGUCUAGUGGGGAAGGGUGUUGUUCCCUUUCCCGAAAUAAAGAGAAAGAUCCCGAGAAAAAGGAAGUAGGAUUCGGUUCAAUCUGGGAUCAAACUAUCCUCUUUUCUUUGGCUUUGUCAAGCCAAUUAUCUGAUCCGAGGGGGACUCUUGUGAAGUAA